GGCGCGGGCGCUGAUUGGCGCAGCGGCGCUGCUCCAGGCGGCGGGAGCGGUGCUCGCAGCAGAAGCGGAGGUGGCAGCUGCCGCAGCAGAAACGGAACGGCCCCGUGGAGCAAUUGAAGGCCGCGUCGUAUUGCCCCGUCACGUCGUAAUAGCCCUGGCACUGCUCCGGGGCGGGCCCGGGAGGAGGCGGAGCGCGCCCGCUCGGGGUGGGGGGGGGCGGGGUCGGACAGAAGGGAGCGGCCGCCGGAACGGAGGUGACCGGAAGAGGCGGGGUCGUCGUUGAAGAGCCGACCAAUGGGAGAGAGGGCACGCCCAUAAGGGGCGGGGUCUGAAGGGGCGCGGCCAAUAGGACGGAGGUCUUCGUGGAAGGCACGCCCAUAAGGGGCGGGGUCUAUCAAGACACGCCCACCGGGGGCGGAAUCGUAUGGAGGGAGACGCCCAAUAGGAGUGGGGGCUUCGUGGCCACGCCCCAAAGGGGCGGAGUCUGCCAGGGCACGUCCAAUGGGAGCGAGGCGUUCGUGCAGGACACGCCCACCGGGGGCGGGGUCGACGCCGAAGCCACGCCCACCGUGG
rnacentral:lncRNA from 1 species